UACGUAGGGUGCAAGCGUUGUCCGGAAUUAUUGGGCGUAAAGAGCUCGUAGGCGGUUUGUCGCGUCUGCUGUGAAAACUCGGGGCUUAACCCCGGGCCUGCAGUGGGUACGGGCAGACUAGAGUGCGGUAGGGGAGACUGGAAUUCCUGGUGUAGCGGUGAAAUGCGCAGAUAUCAGGAGGAACACCGGUGGCGAAGGCGGGUCUCUGGGCCGAUACUGACACUGAGGAGCGAAAGCCAGGGGAGCAAACGGG
rnacentral:rRNA from 1 species